UAGAGGAAGUUUUCGGAUGUUCUAUGCGCGUUCCCGAGGCCCUUCGACUUUCCAUCCCAGAAACGAUAAACGCGGUUAGCAGCGCAUUCACAGCAUUUAAAAUUAAUUUCAUAAUCCAGUCUGGUAGUUUUAAGCGAGUUCUUGCAUUCGCCCUCUUCUAGCCUCGGCGGGGAUAAGGAGCGCCAGCGAGCCCAAGGUGUCCCUGGCGAGCGUGGCAGUACUGGAGGGCUCCCCGAAGAGCACUUUGGUGUUCCCCGGGGCGUCCGCGAAGGUACUGGAGAUCUGCACGGGUAGAUGGGGCUCGUAAGCCGUGGUAGGCAGUCCAUCUAGGAGAGCAAACUCCGAACAAUAUACCCGGGCAGGUGAGGCUCGUUAGCCGUGGUAGGCAAUUCGCCUAGGAGAGCAAACUCCGAACAAUAAACCCGGGCAGGUGGAGGUCGUUAGCGUGAGCAGUUCACCUAGGAGAGCAAACUCCGAUCACAAACCCGGGCAGGUGGAGGUCGUUAGCGUGAGCAGUUCACCUAGGAGAAAGAAAACUCUGACUAUAAACACGGGCAGGUGGAGAUCGUUAGCCGUGGUAGGCAAUCUGCCUAGGAGAGCAAACUCCGAACAUCAAACCCGGGCAGGUGGAGCUCGUUAGCCGUGGUAGGUAGUCUGCCUAGAAGAGGGACAACUCCGAACAACAAACCCGGGCAGGUGGAGCUCGUUAGCCGUCAUAGGCAAUACACCUAGGAGAGCAAACUCCGAACAAUAAACCCGGGCAGGUUGGGCUCGUGAGCCGUCAUAGGCAAUACACCUAGGAGAGCAAACUCCGAACAAUAAACCCGGGCAGGUGGAGCUCGUUAGCCGUGGUAGGCAAUUCACCUAGGAGAGGGACAACUCCGAACAACAAACACGGGCAGGUGAAGGUCGUUAGCCGUGGUAGGCAAUUCGCCUAGGAGAGGGACAACUCCAAUUACAAACCCGGGCAGGUGGAGGUCGUUAGCCGUGGUAGGCAAUCUGUCUAGGAGAGGGACAACUCCGAACAACAAACACGGACUGGUGGAGGUCGUUAGCGUGAGCAGUUCACCUAGGAGAGCAAACUCCGAUUACAAACCCGGGCUGGUGGAGGUCGUUAGCGUAAGCAAUUCACCUAGGAGAGCAAACUCCGAUUACAAACCCGGGCAGGUGGAGCUCGUUAGCGUGAGCAGUUCACCUAGGAGAGCAAACUCCGAACAACAAACCCGGGCAGGUGGAGCUCGUUAGCGUAAGCAAUUCGCCUAGGAGAGCAAACUCCGAUUUCAAACCCGGGCAGGUGGAGCUCGUUAGCGUGAGCAGUUCACCUAGGAGAGCAAACUCCGAUUACAAAACCGGGCUGGUGGAGGUCGUUAGCGUAAGCAGUUCACCUAGGAGAGCAAACUUCGAUUACAAAACCGGGCUGGUGGAGGUCGUUAGCGUAAGGCAGUUCACCUAGGAGAAGGACAACUCUGAUCACAAACCCGGGACGGUGGAGAUCGUUAGCGUGAUGCAGUUCAUCUAGGAGAAGGAUAACUCUGACCACAAACCCGGGCAGGAGGGGGUCGUUAGCCGUGGUAGGCAGUCCUCCUAGGAGAAGGAAAACUCCGAAUUCAAACCAACAAACCACACACACACACACACACAACCAACUAACCGGGCAGGUGGAGCUCGUUAUAGGCGUCGUAGACAAUCCACCAUUCGGAAUCAACAAAUAAAAGGAUAAUAAAAGCGAACACACGAGAAGAAGAAUAUAAAAUUAAAACCGGACAAAAAAGGAUAAUAUAAGAUGGAACACCGAAUAAAGGAUAGUUAAGAAAACAACAUCGAGAAAAGCAUAAGAUGCACACGGACACGGACUGAAACAGAAGACCAAAAAAUGGAUGGUAUAAAAGGAGCGGAAAAAGAUAACGUAAGAAGAACGCACAGAAAAUAACGUAGAAAUAAAACACCAAGAAAAGGAAAAUAAGGAAAAUAUAGAAACAACAUCAAUGAUACCGCCGCUCCGUGGGCUCCGUGGGCGGUAGAAGAAUGAAAUGACCCUUUUCGUAGACGCACAAUAUAAUGUGGUCAAACCAGUCAACAAUAACAUUUACCGCCAGGAUCACAAUCAUGACACUCGAAAACGCCCGUGUCUCUGAGCACUAAACCGGGCAGCUGAGCACUUCACUUAACAUCUAACGUUCAGCAUUGUAUCUUA